UACAGAGGUGGCAAGCGUUGUUCGGAAUUACUGGGCGUAAAGGGCGCGUAGGCGGUUCGUUAAGUCCUGUGUGAAAUCCCUCGGCUUAACCGGGGAACUGCGUCUGAUACUGGAUGGCUUGAAUCCGGGAGAGGGAUGCGGAAUUCCAGGUGUAGCGGUGAAAUGCGUAGAUAUCUGGAGGAAUACCGGUGGCGAAGGCGGCAUCCUGGACCGACAUUGACGCUGAGGAGCGAAAGCUAGGGGAGCAAACGGG
rnacentral:rRNA from 1 species